rnacentral:rRNA from 1 species
GGCGGCAGGCCUAACACAUGCAAGUCGAGCGCGCCUUUCGGGGUGAGCGGCGGACGGGUUAGUAACGCGUGGGAAUAUACCCUUUGGUACGGAAUAGCCUCUGGAAACGGAGAGUAAUACCGUAUGUGCCCUUCGGGGGAAAGAUUUAUCGCCAAAGGAUUAGCCCGCGUUAGAUUAGGUAGUUGGUGGGGUAAUGGCCUACCAAGCCUACGAUCUAUAGCUGGUUUUAGAGGAUGAUCAGCAACACUGGGACUGAGACACGGCCCAGACUCCUACGGGAGGCAGCAGUGGGGAAUCUUGGACAAUGGGGACAACCCUGAUCCAGCCAUGCCGCGUGAGUGAAGAAGGCCCUAGGGUCGUAAGCUCUUUCGCCUGUGAAGAUAAUGACGGUAGCAGGUAAAGAAACCCCGGCUAACUCCGUGCCAGCAGCCGCGGUAAUACGGAGGGGGUUAGCGUUGUUCGGAAUUACUGGGCGUAAAGCGCACGUAGGCGGAUCGGAAAGUUGGGGGUGAAAUCCCGGGGCUCAACCCCGGAACUGCCUCCAAAACUAUCGGUCUAGAGUUCGAGAGAGGUGAGUGGAAUUCCGAGUGUAGAGGUGAAAUUCGUAGAUAUUCGGAGGAACACCAGUGGCGAAGGCGGCUCA